rnacentral:lncRNA from 1 species
GGGCAACCGAGUGAGCUUGCUAGAGAACUGGCGCUCAAUUCCCCUCAGAGGGCAAGCAGGCGCUGGUGCGAGAACAUUACCCUUAAGGGCCCCUAAAAGGGGCAAGCAGGCUUCCUACGUGACAUAUUGGCGUUGAGGGCCCCAAAAAGGGGCAACCAGGCGCCAUACGCCUUCUUCAACCUUCUUCUUUGGUGCUUUUGUUGUCCCGC